rnacentral:rRNA from 1 species
GCACGGGGGGAACGCGAAGAACCUUACCUGGCCUUGACAUACUAGAAACUUUCCAGAGAUGGAUUGGUGCCUUCGGGAAUCUAGAUACAGGUGCUGCAUGGCUGUCGUCAGCUCGUGUCGUGAGAUGUUGGGUUAAGUCCCGCAACGAGCGCAACCCUUUUCCUUACUUGCCAGCAUUUCGGAUGGGAACUUUAAGGAUACUGCCAGUGACAAACUGGAGGAAGGCGGGGACGACGUCAAGUCAUCAUGGCCCUUACGGCCAGGGCUACACACGUGCUACAAUGGUCGGUACAAAGGGUUGCUACACAGCGAUGUGAUGCUAAUCUCAAAAAGCCGAUCGUAGUCCGGAUUGGAGUCUGC